AACCUGAAACCGUGUACGUACAAGCAGUGGGAGCCCCACCACCAAAGCAUUCUCUGGUGUUGAAGGCCCUGCAAAGCAGCAUCGCGGUGGCGGAGCGUCGUUUGCGACGCCCAACACACAAAACAAGCGGUGAGUGCUUUGGGGUGGGGUGACUGCGUACCUUUUGUAUAAUGGGUCAGCGACUUAUAUUCUGUAGCAAGGUUAACCGUAUAGGGGAGCCGAAGGGAAACCGAGUCUUAACCGGGCGUUAAGUUGCAGGGUAUAGACCCGAAACCCGGUGAUCUAGCCAUGGGCAGGUUGAAGGUUGGGUAACACUAACUGGAGGACCGAACCGACUAAUGUUGAAAAAUUAGCGGAUGACUUGUGGCUGGGGGUGAAAGGCCAAUCAAACCGGGAGAUAGCUGGUUCUCCCCGAAAGCUAUUUAGGUAGCGCCUCGUGAACUCAUCUUCGGGGGUAGAGCACUGUUUCGGCUAGGGGGUCAUCCCGACUUACCAACCCGAUGCAAACUGCGAAUACCGAAGAAUGUUAUCACGGGAGACACACGGCGGGUGCUAACGUCCGUCGUGAAGAGGGAAACAACCCAGACCGCCAGCUAAGGUCCCAAAGUCACAGUUAAGUGGGAAACGAUGUGGGAAGGCUCAGACAGCCAGGAUGUUGGCUUAGAAGCAGCCAUCAUUUAAAGAAAGCGUAAUAGCUCACUGGUCGAGUCGGCCUGCGCGGAAGAUGUAACGGGGCUAAACUGUGCACCGAAGCUGCGGCAGCGACGCUUAUGCGUUGUUGGGUAGGGGAGCGUUCUGUAAGCCUGCGAAGGUGUCCUGUGAGGGAUGCUGGAGGUAUCAGAAGUGCGAAUGCUGACAUAAGUAACGAUAAUGCGGGUGAAAAGCCCGCUCGCCGGAAGACCAAGGGUUCCUGUCCAACGUUAAUCGGGGCAGGGUGAGUCGACCCCUAAGGCGAGGCCGAAAGGCGUAGUCGAUGGGAAACGGGUUAAUAUUCCCGUACUUGGUGUUACUGCGAAGGGGGGACGGAGAAGGCUAUGUUGGCCGGGCGACGGUUGUCCCGGUUUAAGCGUGUAGGCUGGUUUUCCAGGCAAAUCCG
rnacentral:rRNA from 1 species